GCCGCCCUUUGCUUUGCUUCCUCGAUUUCUCCUCUCGCUAGGGUUUGUGGGUGAGAGCGGCGGCGGCAGUGGCCGCGGCGGAGUUGAGGAGAAAUGGAGGUCGACGGAGGCGGAGACGAGUCGUCGGCGGCGACCCCUGACCCCGGCCGCGGGAAGAAGAGGCCGCCUUCCCCCUCGACUCCUCCGACGCCGAGCGACGAUGGGGAGGACUCCGACGACAGCUGGGCUGUCAGCGACGAGGAGGAGGAAGAGGAAGAGGAAGACGAAGAGGACCAAGAAGGAAAGCACCGCCCUUUUACAGUUGAUGAUUUUCCCAGGCUUAGUAGUGACCAUUCUGUGCAGACUGAUGCACUCUUUGAUAUUCCACAUCUUCGCCUUGGAGGCCCGUCACCGCUCAGUCUUUUCCGUGCAUUCAAUGAUCCUCUCACUGAUAAACGCAGGCAUUGGUUUGGUUCUUAUUACCGACUCGAUGAUGAAUCUGAAAUCAGUGUCGACAGCGCUGGGGCCGUUGAUUGCUUAAAUGGGUGUAGGUGCCUUUCGAAGAAUUUGCUCCAGUUCAUUGACCUGAAAAUCUCCGGCUAUCGCCAUACUCAGCCUGGACGUGCCAAAAUCUUCGGCUUUUUUGCGGUGCGGGAUGACUUGGAACCUCUGCGCAACUAUGUCUUCAGGCAUGCAAUUUACAAUUAUGAAGCUGUAUCUGUGAAGCCAAAGACGGGUAUGGCGUGUUUACCAUUGACUAGCCCUGCUUGAGGUAUCUGCUUGACAAGCCGUGCGCUGUUUGAAUUCCAACUCUGUAUUCGGACUGAAGACUCACCUGAGGCUGAGGAUGAGCCCAAAGGUGACACAUUGAUUGAAGGAUGCACUGAAUUCACCAACAUUUUAAGAUCAACAUCAUUCACCAAAACUGUUCGUCUGUACGGUGAGAAGUGUGGAUUGGAUUUGAAGUUUGCUCUGCUGGUUAAUGCAGUUCAAGCUACAGUUGAUGUUGAGAUUAUACAUUCACCUCCUUGUGGCCUUAAUUUGAAGUUAUAUGCCAAAACUAGUGGCUUCAGCGAUGUGAUCCGUCUCUUCCAAGGUGCUGCACAAUCUGGUCAUAGAAUUAGUUCUGUUGUGGCGGUGGUGCGACGUAGUCACCUUGAUCUUUGUAUCGAAGGGUCUCCAGCAGGUAUUGGUCUUGGUGAGAAGCUGCCCCGUGUAAGAUGGGAGCACAGAUUUGGUGCUGGUUUUCAUGGAAUUGAAGAUGAAGUGGUGAAGCUUGGUGAUUUUAGCACAAUUUCUGUGAAAGUCACCUGGAAAGCUGUCGGCAAGCGUCCGGCGCCGAAGGGAUAGUGGAGCUUCUAUGCAAAGUAAAAACUGGAAGAUGUUAUGUGUGGCAACUUUUGUGAGCUAUUUCCAUGUAUUAAUAUAGAGUUUAACUCUUGGCAUGCUAAACUUUGGUCUGCCCUAAUGUCUUGGGCAAUCUUGCUAGAGCAAUGAUAAACUUUUGUAAACAUUUGCGUGAUGCUAAUUGAAUUCUUAUUUCGGUGCUACUCUGUUGUCUAUGGAAGUUGAUCAAGGAGCACAUGUUCAA